rnacentral:rRNA from 1 species
UACAGAGGGUGCAAGCGUUAAUCGGAAUUACUGGGCGUAAAGAGCGUGUAGGCGGUCCGAUAAGUCCGCUCUGAAAGCCCGGGGCUCAACCCCGGGAGGCGGGCGGAUACUGUCGGGCUCGAAUCCGGAAGAGGUGAGUGGAAUUCCUGGUGUAGCGGUGAAAUGCGCAGAUAUCAGGAGGAACACCAAUGGCGAAGGCAGCUCACUGGGACGGUAUUGACGCUGAGACGCGAAAGCGUGGGGAGCAAACAGG